CCGAAACCACACGCUUUGGCAGUGCAUUCUUUGACGCGUGUUUUCUCUGCAGUGGGCGAUAGUGGGAAGUGUUCGAUGCUGUUAGUAUAAUGGUUCUGUGCUUAGGCUUGCGUUUACUUGCCUCUUUUGCGUAAUAACUGCACAUUAUUUGCAAAAACCGUGCGUCUCUUCCUUGCUCCUUCUGCUGCGGGGGAAAGCCCACUUUACACUUGCCUUUGCUCGCCGUCCGAAAUGCUCGCCGUCAUGUCGUUGUCUCUCACCUUGUCCUCUGUUUGACAGACGGACACGCAUGCAUUUCGAACGAGUAUGUCAAUUGUCAGCGCUUCUAAUGGAGUUCUCGCAUUCAUGGUGUCCACCAGCUGGUUUACCCGGUCCACAAAUGCAACAGAUGCAUGACAGUCUGCCAGACUGUUAUGAUGUGGCUGAUAGUGCUGCAUUGCUUUGGAGACACUGUCGCUGAAGAACUACAUGGAAACCCUUGUACUCUUCAUAGUGACAAACCACGUAGUGAACACAGAGGCAGAGGACAAGAUAGAGUCCAACGUCCUGGUGACUUUCUCUCACCUGGAAU